AGCGAACGCUGGCGGCAGGCCUAAUACAUGCAAGUCGAGCGGGUCCUUCGGGAUUAGGGGCGGACGGGUGAGUAACGCGUGGAACGUGCCCUUUGGUACGGAACAACUGAGGGAAACUUCAGCUAAUACCGUAUGUGCCCUUCGGGGAAAGAUUAUCGCCAUUGGAGCGGCCCGCCGUUGGAUUAGGUAGUUGGUGAGGUAAAGGCUCACCAAAGCCUACGAUCCAUAGCUGGUCUGAGAGGAUGACCAGCCACACUGGGACUGAGACACGGCCCACGACUCCUA
rnacentral:rRNA from 1 species